GAUCGCUACUGUACAGUCAAUGGCUGCAUGGCGGCGAUGAGCAUUGGAACUUGGAAGUGGAUGCAUGUGCAACUUGAUGUGUCGUUGCAUAUGGGAGGCCCGUUGGUAAUGGUAAGCGUAUUAAUAAAUUAGGCAGUAGUAUGUCCUUCAACAAUCUGUUAUGUCCAACCAUGGAAUGAGUCGCAUGCGACUAAGUUAACCAAACAGGGCAACAACAAUUAGUCAGCAAUGGAAUUAGUCAGUGGAAAACAACACAUUCAUUCCCGAGGAUGGCUUUGAGUUUAUCUAUGCUUAUUCAUGAUUGAAAUUUGCCAUGUUUUCAGACCAACUGGAAGGAUUCCUCUUUUUCACAGAACUUUAACAUUUUCAUGGUAUAUUUAAUUCUUUGUUGGUGGAUUGUCACUUGGCAUCAUUUGAAUGGUGUGGUCCAUAUCAGCAGUGUUAUGAUGCAUAAUCAUGUAGAACUGCACAAUGAUGGGUUUGUAUAAACAAGCUUGAAAUAACAAACCAACAGUGUUUUUGGUGUGGCUUACACAUACAACUCUACAACAUGUUGAUGUUAGCUAAAUUGUUAUUAAUCAAAGGACAAGGUAGUAUGAAAUGAAAUAUCUUCACUUGCAAGUUUGUGCAUAUGGAUUUGUUUGAGAUGACUCUUGAGGCAGGAAGCUUUUCCUGCUUUUUACGAAAAGGGACAUUGGGUGCCUUAAUUUCUAAUACCAACCAAGUGUCAUUGCAAAGAUAGGUAAAAGAUAUAUCAAUAUAGAUUAUUCUCUGAGUGAUGGUGACACAUGGUAAAAAGAGAGAGCAGUAUGAAUAUUUGCCGCAUCAUUUACUUCUUUUACUUAUAUCUUCAAGGUAUCUUAUUGACUUCUAUUAGUUUUAUUUGUGGAAAGAAUAUCUUGAGUGGGAGAAUUGGAUCACAAUUGA
rnacentral:lncRNA from 1 species